CAGUCGCCACGGGAAUACGUAGGUGGCAAGCGUUGUCCGGAAUUAUUGGGCGUAAAGGGCUCGCAGGCGGUUUCUUAAGUCUGAUGUGAAAGCCCCCGGCUCAACCGGGGAGGGUCAUUGGAAACUGGGAAACUUGAGUGCAGAAGAGGAGAGUGGAAUUCCACGUGUAGCGGUGAAAUGCGUAGAGAUGUGGAGGAACACCAGUGGCGAAGGCGACUCUCUGGUCUGUAACUGACGCUGAGGAGCGAAAGCGUGGGGAGCGAACAGGAUUAGAUACCCGUGUAGUCCCUGUCUCUUAUAC
rnacentral:rRNA from 1 species